UACGUAGGGUGCAAGCGUUAAUCGGAAUUACUGGGCGUAAAGCGUGCGCAGGCGGUUAUGUAAGACAGUUGUGAAAUCCCCGGGCUCAACCUGGGAACUGCAUCUGUGACUGCAUAGCUAGAGUACGGUAGAGGGGGAUGGAAUUCCGCGUGUAGCAGUGAAAUGCGUAGAUAUGCGGAGGAACACCGAUGGCGAAGGCAAUCCCCCUGGACCUGUACUGA
rnacentral:rRNA from 1 species